AGGAAACAAAGAGACAACCUGUGACAUCGAGAAUUGGAUUUUAAAAUAUUUUUCCCUCGGAUUAAGACUUGAAGAAUCAGCUGGAGAAAAGCAACUCAAUC